CGAAAGCCUGACGGAGCAAUACCGCGUGAGGGAGGAAGGCUCUUGGGUUGUAAACCUCUUUUCUCAGGGAAGAAAGAUGACGGUACCUGAGGAAUCAGCAUCGGCUAACUCCGUGCCAGCAGCCGCGGUAAUACGGAGGAUGCAAGCGUUAUCCGGAAUGAUUGGGCGUAAAGCGUCCGCAGGUGGCAGUUCAAGUCUGCUGUUAAAGACUGGGGCUUAACCCUGGAAAGGCAGUGGAAACUGAACAGCUAGAGUGCGGUGGGGGCAGAGGGAAUUCCUGGUGUAGCGGUGAAAUGCGUAGAGAUCAGGAAGAACACCGGUGGCGAAAGCGCUCUGCUAGGCCGCAACUGACACUCAGGGACGAAAGCUAGGGGAGCG
rnacentral:rRNA from 1 species